CAGUAGCCGGCGGUAAUACGAAGGGUGCAAGCGUUAAUCGGAAUUACUGGGCGUAAAGCGUGCGCAGGCGGUUUGUUAAGACAGAUGUGAAAUCCCCGGGCUCAACCUGGGAACUGCAUUUGUGACUGGCAAGCUAGAGUGUGGCAGAGGGGGGUGGAAUUCCGCGUGUAGCAGUGAAAUGCGUAGAUAUGCGGAGGAACACCGAUGGCGAAGGCAGCCCCCUGGGCCAACACUGACGUUCAUGCACGAAAGCGUGGGGAGCAAACAGGAUUAGAUACCCCCGUAGUCCCUGUCUCUUAUA
rnacentral:rRNA from 1 species